AUUGAACGCUGGCGGCAUGCCUUACACAUGCAAGUCGAACGGUAACAGGUCUUCGGAUGCUGACGAGUGGCGAACGGGUGAGUAAUACAUCGGAACGUGCCCGAUCGUGGGGGAUAACGGAGCGAAAGCUUUGCUAAUACCGCAUACGAUCUACGGAUGAAAGCAGGGGACCGCAAGGCCUUGCGCGGACGGAGCGGCCGAUGGCAGAUUAGGUAGUUGGUGGGAUAAAAGCUUACCAAGCCGACGAUCUGUAGCUGGUCUGAGAGGACGACCAGCCACACUGGGACUGAGACACGGCCCAGACUCCGACGGGAGUCAGCAGUGGGGAAUUUUGGACAAUGGGCGCAAGCCUGAUCCAGCCAUGCCGCGUGCAGGAUGAAGGCCUUCGGGUUGUAAACUGCUUUUGUACGGAACGAAAAGACUCUGGUUAAUACCUGGGGUCCAUGACGGUACCGUAAGAAUAAGCACCGGCUAACUACGUGCCAGCAGCCGCCGUAAUAC
rnacentral:rRNA from 1 species